rnacentral:misc_RNA from 1 species
GGAAGGAUCAUUACUGAAGUGAUUUGGGGAUGUUGCUGGCCUCUCACUUUUUGGGUGGGGGCAAUGUGCACUCCCUGAACAACUCACGAUUUCCAUCACACCCUUGUGCACAUCUUGUAGGCACCCCCCCACCCAUCUCUGGGUGUGCGGGUCCUAUGUACUCCUUCAUCUCACACUUCUUUUGAAUGGUGCCCUUGAACGCAUCUAAAAGGAUUAUUUGUACAAAAAGUAAUCACAGAAACAACUUUCAACAAUGGAUCUCUUGGCUCUCGCAUCGAUGAAGAACGCAGCGAAAUGCGAUACGUAAUGUGAAUUGCAGAAUUCCGUGAAUCAUCGAAUCUUUGAACGCACCUUGCGCCUCUUGGUAUUCCGAGGGGCAUGCCUGUUUGAGUGUCAUUGAAAACCUCAAGAGGGGAAGCUUCACGGCUUCUCUUUUGGAAUUGGAGUGUGCUGGCCUUGUGAAAAGCCCAGCUCCUCUGAAAUACAUUAGCGAUGUGACAUCCUCGUGCCAUCACGCUUCUCCAGCAUUGAUAGUCUGUCUCUUCAUGCUUGAGUGUGUUGUGCAGCGGUGGAAAGUUUUGCUCGCUCAUAGACUUUGAUGGGCUUUGGGCCUAUCCUUUGACCAAUUUAACCUCAAAUCAGGUAGGAUUACCCGCUGAACUUAAGCAUAUCAAUAAGCGGAGGAAAAGAAACUAACAAGGAUUCCCCUAGUAACUGCGAGUGAAGCGGGAAGAGCUCAAAUUUAAAAUCUGGCGGUUCCCCGAGCCGUCCGAGUUGUAAUCUAGAGAAGUGCUUUCCGCGCUGGACCGUGUACAAGUCUCUUGGAAUGGAGCGUCAUAGAGGGUGAGAAUCCCGUCUUUGACACGGACCACCAGUGCUUCUGUGAUGCACUCUCAAAGAGUCGAGUUGUUUGGGAAUGCAGCUCAAAAUGGGUGGUAAAUUCCAUCUAAAGCUAAAUAUGGGCGAGAGACCGAUAGCGAACAAGUACCGUGAGGGAAAGAUGAAAAGAACUUUGAAAAGAGAGUUAAACAGUACGUGAAAUUGUUGAAAGGGAAACGUUUCAAGUCAGUCACGUUGGCUGGUAAUCAACCCUUGCAGUCCUGCUGGGCUUACUUUCCAGUCAACGGGUCAGCAUCAAUUUUGACUGUCAGAUAAAGGCGUGGGGAAUGUGGCAUCCUUGGAUGUGUUAUAGCCUCUCGUCAAAUGUGAUGGUUGGGAUUGAGGAACUCAGCAUGCCUUUACUGGUCGGGGCUCUAAGCCCACGUAACGUGCUUAGGAUGCUGGCAUAAUGGCUUGAACCGACCCGUCUUGAAACACGGACCAAGGAGUCUAACAUGCCUGCGAGUGUUUGGGUGGAAAACCCGAGCGCGAAGUGAAAGUGAACUUUGUCGAGAUCCCUGUCGUGGGGAGCACCGACGCCCGGACCAGACCUUCUGUGACGGAUCCGCGGUUGAGCAUGCAUGCUAGGACCCGAAAGAUGGUGAACUAUGCCUGAAUAGGGUGAAGCCAGAGGAAACUCUGGUGGAGGCUCGUAGCGAUUCUGACGUGCAAAUCGAUCGUCGAAUUUGGGUAUAGGGGCGAAAGACUAAUCGAACCAUCUAGUAGCUGGUUCCUGC